UAAUCUUUGGUAAAAAAAAGUUUUGGCAAUCUUGUGAGAGCUUUUUUCUGAUAUUGUAGGUAUCAUGUCAUUUCUUUCUUUCCAUUUGUGUUUUCUUUUCACCUUACUAAGAGAGAAAUUAUUCUUUGAAACUAAAGCCUACUUAGCUUUGCUCAAAAUACUCACAGAAAGUUAGUCACUGCUGUUGAUUUUUCUUGCAGUUAGUUAGUCACUGCUGAUUUUUUCCCCAAUGAUUUAGCAUCUCACUUAUUCAUUGUUAUCAAUGUAUCUUUGUCGCUUGCUGCAGAAAUCUUCUAAGUGAAGCCUGGGCCCCUAAAUUAGCAAACUAGCAAAGAACAUGAGCAACUUGAAGUCAUGCCUCUUCUAGAAAAAUCUAUGGAUACUGAAAGACUAGGACCUGGAAAUUAGUUUUUCAAAUCAAGAGAAGGUGGAAAAGGAGGCCAGAUUGUGGACAAAGUUGAAAUUGCAGUUCAAAUUACACACAACCAAACUGGUGUCACUAUUCACUGAACAAGUUAUUUUUCCUCUUUUCACACUUAUUUAAUAUGUGAACCCAUCUUCCAUGUUUCUGAGGCUUCUUUGGAACAUAAUAUAGUUGGAGACAAUUUAUAUUUUAUACGUUAGAAACAUAUUUUAGUCUCAUGUUAAGUAGAUCCAAGAUUCAAACUUAACUCACAAAGUGUUUCUUCUUUAGGAAUUAUUAUCCCCACUUAACUCUUCCUAGAAUCAGAACCUGAAAUACUCAUUUAAGAAAUCUUAAUCCUGAUAUUAGUAUACAAUUGAGAGGCAUUUAUUUCAUAGUUUCUUAAAUCCUCACAGAUUAACACUAUGGAUUUUACUGCGACAAAUUCACACCAAACUCAUGCAAAUGAGAAUUGAAGUGCAUGGUUAAAAUGCAUUAUGUUAAAGAUUCCCAUGGUAAUGAUUUUGAUGAUUGGUGUUGGCCUGAUCAUCCUCCUAACUUGACACUUUGAACCCAGAGAUUAGAUCCUGGUGGUAUGCUAUGUUUUAUUUUUGGAGUUCUGUUGGUUCCACUCCUCUUUCCAAAUGGAAUGUGCCUUUCGUCUUCAAUGGUCUUGAGGUCCAUGUCUCGAGUUGUUUGCUUUGGCAUCUGAAAUCUUUGUAUUUAGUCAGUUUUGGAGAACUCUAGAGGUACUUGCCUAAAGUUGGUUUGGUAUGGACUUUGCAGGCCAUUGCUUAGUGGUAAUAUCAUCUAUUAGGAUAUUAUCAUGAUUGUGUUGAUUUUUUAAAAAAUCAUAAAAUUGAGAACAACUUUCAUUCAGGUGCUAUUUGGUAUUGGUGAUUUAAAUUGUAACUCAGUCAUGAUUUUGACUUGGAGUCUUGGACAUACAAUUCCUAUAUACAGUGUGUUGCAAUCGUUUUCCUCUUCAAGUUUCGUACUUCGGAUGAUCUCACCGUCUGCGUUGGAGAAGGUUUGGUGGAAGGUGAAGACUGUGGGUUUCGGUUUGAUUUCGCCAGAGAUCGUCAUAUUUGGCAGGCUCUCUCACUAUAUAUUCUCUGAUGUUUGGGAGCAGUUGAUGAAAAUCGUAGUUGUUGCAAUUUCGACGAAGGAGAAGCCAGUUUCUUUGAUUACUCAUUCCAGUGAUUGUGAUUGAUGCAUGAUUUCGUGAUUGAAAUUUUUCGCCAAUGUUAAGCAUUUCAUAAGUGAGGUCAAUUUCGUGUCAGGUCACAAAGAGCUGGAUUAGGGUUAGGUUGUUCAAGGAGAUUGGGGAAGUACCUACCAUCUGUCGUCACAAUGAGAGCACGAUCAGAAAGGGGUGCUGUUUUUGGUAUUAUUUUGGAUGAUUAGUGAUGCAGAAUUUCGCCACCAUGUCAUGUACUUCUCCAAUCGAUUUUCGUAGUGCUUGAAAUUUCAUCACAGAGGUGUAUAUCUUUUCAAAUAUAAUUCCACUAUUAUU